rnacentral:misc_RNA from 1 species
UGUGGGAGCGAGCCUGCUCGCGAUGGCGUCGGGUCAGUCGAUGACGAUGUCGAAUGAUCCGACGCCAUCGCGAGCAGGCUCGCUCCCACA